GCUAAAUAGCCUAAAUGGUAUUACUGUUUAAAAAAAACAACUCCCUUUGCUUGUUUUUGUUAUUCUCAAAUCCCAAUCGAUUGUUUCUACUCUGGAAUGUUAUUUUUCAUAGGGAUUUUUUUUGUUAGAACUUUGUUACUUGGUUAAUAUUGGUUUACUUCGGCUACUUAUGAUCACUAUUUGCCGUACAGGUCACAACAAUUGAUGGAAUCUAACGAAUUAGUUGAUGAAUAAGGUUUGGUUGUCCUAUCUUUUUAACUUGUUCAACUCACACCUUCUAUAUACCUUCCCUCAUGUAAUUCUAGAUGUAAAAGGUUGAUGCCAUGUCAGUGAUGGGGUUUCUGUAUCAAAUAAAUCAUGAGAUUGUAUAUGUAAGAAUAAGACAUCAUAUUACAACAAUCUGAUGUGGAUGCAAAUGAGUCGGAUGAACUUGCCGUUUUGGAAGCAAGAUCUGUCAUCUUAUGCACUUUAUUAUUGGUAUUUGAUAAUCGACUGAUAUAGAUAUCAUUCGUUUUCGCAUUAUUUCAAGUUUUUGCUAUUGAUUUCAAAAUAGUAGAAGCAUAAUAAAAAUUUCGGAAGCAAAAACAGUUACAAAAC
rnacentral:lncRNA from 1 species